rnacentral:rRNA from 1 species
CGGUAAGAGGCUUUACCCGGAGAUUCCGAAUGGGGAAACCCGACAGAUGUGAAAGAUCUGUCUUUGUAUACUGAAUACAUAGGUAUACCAGGCGAGACCCGCUGAACUGAAACAUCUUAGUAAGCGGARGAAAAGAAAUCGAAGAGAUUUCCUGAGUAGCGGCGAGCGAAAGGGAAAGAGCCUAAACCGAGUGUAAUACACGCGGGGUUGUAGGGUCAGAAAUAAAGAGAGCUUGAAUUUUAGUUGAAUACUUCUGGAAAGGAACGAURCAGGGUGAUAGUCCCGUAGACGAAAAGAAGAGAGCCUCGAUCUGAUACCUGAGUAGAACUAGACACGUGAAACCUAGUUUGAAUCUGGGGAGACCCCUCUCCAAGGCUCAAUACUAGUCAGUGACCGAUAGUGAACCAGUACUGUGAAGGAAAGGUGAAAAGAACCCUUGUUAAGGGAGUGAAAUAGAACCUGAAACCMGUAGCUUAUAWGCGGUCGGAGGCC